UACGUAGGGUGCGAGCGUUGUCCGGAAUUACUGGGCGUAAAGAGCUUGUAGGUGGUUUGUCGCGUUGUUCGUGAAAUCUCACGGCUCAACUGUGAGCGUGCGGGCGAUACGGGCAGACUAGAGUACUGCAGGGGAGACUGGAAUUCCUGGUGUAGCGGUGGAAUGCGCAGAUAUCAGGAGGAACACCGGUGGCGAAGGCGGGGUCUCUGGGCAGUAACUGACGCUGAGAAGCGAAAGCCGUGGGGAGCGAACAGG
rnacentral:rRNA from 1 species